UUAGUACAAAAAAAUCUUUUUGAAUUGAAAAGUACAAUUUUGUAGAUAUAUGCUAAAAGGAUAAAAUGUACACCAAAAAUUAGCUGACAUUCUCCUCUGUUUGAAAUGAAUGGAUUUGAACUUAAAAGAUUUAUUUUAUGCUCUAAAAACUUUGCAAUAAUUUUUUAUUAUUUUUGUACAACUUCUCCAACAUCUCAAAACCAACAAUAAUAUUUUGUCAUUCAGUAAAAAAUUAACCUUUGUUCAUAGGUACCUAUCCAAAAAUAAAAUAAAAAAAAAACAUGAUUUCAAGGUGAACUAUUUAAGUGCUAUAGGCUGUAUAUUUGACCCAUUUGUAAUAGAAUCUAAAUAAUUAGCACAUAUUUACUGUCAAUCAUUUUAAAAAGUGCUCAUUGAAAAUAAAUAAUCUAUUCCCAGAACCCAGCUGAACUAUGUUUACAUUUUGACUCCAAACAAAAAUUUAAUAUUAUUCAUCUAGUUCUAGCGUAUGUAUCUACAUUUUACACCAAUAAAAUCCAAGUAUUAGAUAAUUUUUGAACUUCACAGAUUUUAUUUAUAACUGCACACUCUUCAGAGUUAGAUUGAUUUUUUCAGCCCGAUAGUUAAUAUGCGCGUUCUAUUAGCAUUGUUUUGUUUAUUUUUAUUUGGGUCUCAAAUAAAAUCAUCCACGUGUGCAACACCAGAUCCAAAGUGUUUGCUACCAGCUGAACCAGGACCAUGUCGAAUGAUGCUACCAAGAUACUUUUAUAACCCAAAAACAAAUAAUUGUGAAUCAUUUAAGUAUGGUGGUUGUCAAGGUAAUGGCAAUAGAUUUGGUAUUAUAAGUGCUUGUGAAAAAUCUUGUAAGCCUUCCAAAUAAUAAAAAAUCGUAUUUUUGUAUA